GACGAACGCUGGCGGCGUGCUUAACACAUGCAAGUCGAACGAUGAAGAAGAGAAACGCGAACUUCGGUUCAAAUUUCACUUCGGAUUGGUGGCAGACGGGUGAGUAACGCGUGAGCAACCUACCUCUUACAAAGGGAUAGCCUCGGGAAACCGUGAUUAAUACCAUAUGACACAUUCAUAAGGCAUCUUAAGAAUGUUAAAGCUACGGCGGUAAGAGAUGGGCUCGCGUCCCAUUAGCUAGUGGGUGAGGUAACGGCCCACCAAGGCGACGAUGGGUAACCGGCAUGAGAGGGUGAACGGUCACAUUGGAACUGAGACACGGUCCAAACUCCUACGGGAGGCAGCAGUGGGGAAUAUUGCACAAUGGAGGGAACUCUGAUGCAGCGACGCCGCGUGAGCGAUGAAGGAAUUCGUUUCGUAAAGCUCUGUUCUAUGGGAAGAAAAGGACUGUACCAUAGGAGAAAGCCCCGGCUAAAUACGUG
rnacentral:rRNA from 1 species